UAAGAGAGAGAGAGAGAGAGAGAGAGAGAGAGAGAGAUGAAGACGAUCGCGGAGGAUGUGUUUGUCCAAUGGUUUCAAGUUGAAGAGAGCGUAUCCUCUCAGAAAAGAGAUAAAGAGCGAAGGCCAUAUCACAGACACUGCAGCUGUGCGCUGCACACGAGUGUCGCCGCCGCAUGUUCUCAUCACAGGAACGUUACGAUGAAGAAGAAGCAGCCAUCGCACCACUGCUCUUUGUCUCUCCAAUCUGCCAAUAAAGAGGUCUUCACCAGAGCUACAUUACAUCAAUGGAUGUUCGUCUAGUUGCUUAUUUUCACGUUUUACUAUUUUAUUAUUUAAGAUUAUACCCGUUUCAUAAUUGUAGCCAACC
rnacentral:lncRNA from 1 species